rnacentral:rRNA from 1 species
AACGCUGGCGGCGGCCUAACAAUGCAAGUCGAACGGUAACAGGAUGUGCUUGCACAUCGCUGACGAGUGGCGGACGGGUGAGUAAUGCUUGGGAACUUGCCUUUGCGAGGGGGAUAACAGUUGGAAACGGCUGCUAAUACCGCAUAAUGUCUUCGGACCAAACGGGGCUUCGGCUCCGGCGCAAAGAGAGGCCCAAGUGAGAUUAGCUAGUUGGUAAGGUAACGGCUUACCAAGGCGACGAUCUCUAGCUGUUCUGAGAGGAAGAUCAGCCACACUGGGACUGAGACACGGCCCAGACUCCUACGGGAGGCAGCAGUGGGGAAUAUUGCACAAUGGGGGAAACCCUGAUGCAGCCAUGCCGCGUGUGUGAAGAAGGCCUUCGGGUUGUAAAGCACUUUCAGUUGUGAGGAAAAGUUAGUAGUUAAUACCUGCUAGCCGUGACGUUAACAACAGAAGAAGCACCGGCUAACUCCGUGCCAGCAGCCGCGGUAGUACGGAGGGUGCGAGCGUUAAUCGGAAUUACUGGGCGUAAAGCGCACGCAGGCGGUUUGUUAAGCUAGAUGUGAAAGCCCCGGGCUCAACCUGGGAUGGUCAUUUAGAACUGGCAGACUAGAGUCUUGGAGAGGGGAGUGGAAUUCCAGGUGUAGCGGUGAAAUG